rnacentral:rRNA from 1 species
GAUGAACGCUAGCGGCAGGCUUAACACAUGCAAGUCGAGGGGUAGAAGGAGCUUGCUCCUUUGAGACCGGCGCACGGGUGCGUAACGCGUAUGCAAUCUACCUUUUGCAGAGGAUAGCCCAGAGAAAUUUGGAUUAAUACCUCAUAGUAUGUGAGGAUGGCAUCAUUUUCACAUUAAAGUCACAACGGCAAAAGAUGAGCAUGCGUCCCAUUAGCUAGUUGGUAAGGUAACGGCUUACCAAGGCUACGAUGGGUAGGGGUCCUGGAGAGGGGAGAUCCCCCCACACUGGUACUGAGACACGGACCAGACUCCUACGGGAGGCAGCAGUGAGAAUAUGGACAAUGGGCGCAAGCCUGAUCCAGCCAUGCCGCGUGCAGGAU